UGAGGAAUAUUGGUCAAUGGGCGAGAGCCUGAACCAGCCAAGUCGCGUGAAGGAAGACUGCCUUAUGGGUUGUAAACUUCUUUUAUACAGGAAUAAAAAGGCUUACGUGUAGGCCAUUGCAAGUACUGUAUGAAUAAGCAUCGGCUAACUCCGUGCCAGCAGCCGCGGUAAUACGGAGGAUGCGAGCGUUAUCCGGAUUUAUUGGGUUUAAAGGGUGCGCAGGCGGGCUUUUAAGUCAGCGGUGAAAUCUGGACGCUUAACGUCCAAACUGCCGUUGAAACUGGGAGUCUUGAGUAUGGAUGAAGUAGGCGGAAUUCGUUGUGUAGCGGUGACAUGCAUAGAUAUAACGAGGAACUCCGAUUGCGUAGGCAGCUUACUAAGCCAUAACUGACGCUCAUGCACGAAAGCGUGGGGAUCAAACAGGAUUAGAUACCCUGGUAGUCCACGCCGUAAAACGAUGAUUACUAGUUGUAUGCGAUAUGAUAGUAUGUGACUAAGCGAAAGCGAUAAGUAAUCCACCUGGGGAGUACGCCGGCAACGGUGAAACUUAAAGGAAUUGACGGGGUCAUAGCUG
rnacentral:rRNA from 1 species